ACUCAAAGGAAUAGACGGGGGCCCGCACAAGCGGUGGAGCAUGUGGAUUAAUUCGUCAUUAACCGAAGAACCUUACCAGGGUUUGACAUCCCCGGACAGGCGGUGAAAGCCGUCCUUCCUCUGGGAAACCAGGGGACUGGGAGACAGGUGUUGCAUGGCUGUCGUCAGCUCGUGUCGUGAGAUGUUGGGUUAAGUCCCGCAACGAGCGCAACCCUCACUGCCGGUUGCCAGCGCGAAAGGUGGGCACUUUGGCAGAACUGCCCCGGCAACGGGGAGGAAGGUGGGGAUGACGUCAAGUCGGCAUGGCCCGUAUAUCCUGGGCUUCACACAUGCUACAAUGGGACGGACAGAGGGCAGCAAGAGCGCGAGCUGGAGCUAAUCCCACAAACCGUUCCUCAGUUCGGAUUGCAGGCUGCAACUCGCCUGCAUGAAGUCGGAAUCGCUAGUAACCGCCGGUCAGCAAAACGGCGGUGAAUACGUACCCGGGCCUUGUACACACCGCCCGU
rnacentral:rRNA from 1 species